rfam:Brachypodium distachyon strain Bd21 chromosome 3, whole genome shotgun sequence.
UUUAUGCUCACUCCGUCCAACAAAAGAUGUCUCAAAUUUGUCAAAAUUUAGAUGUAUCUAGACAUGACUUAGUAUAUAGAUGCAUUUAAAUUUAGUCAAAUAUGAGACAUCUUUUGUUGGACAAAGAAAUAUAAA